rnacentral:rRNA from 1 species
GAUGAACGCUGGCGGCGUGCCUAACACAUGCAAGUCGAGCGGAGAUUUCUGAAGUAGUAAUACGGAAGGGAUCUUAGCGGCGGACGGGUGAGUAACACGUGAGUAAUCUGCCUUCUGCAGGGGAAUAACAUUGUGAAAACAGUGCUAAUACCGCAUAACGUCCGACUGGGACAUCCCGGACGGACCAAAGGAGAAAUCCGGCAGAAGAUGAGCUCGCGUCCGAUUAGCUAGUUGGCGGGGUAACGGCCCACCAAGGCUUCGAUCGGUAGCCGAACUGAGAGGUUGAUCGGCCACAUUGGGACUGAGACACGGCCCAGACUCCUACGGGAGGCUG